rnacentral:misc_RNA from 1 species
GAUGAAGAACGUAGCGAAAUGCGAUAAGUAAUGUGAAUUGCAGAAUUCAGUGAAUCAUCGAAUCUUUGAACGCACAUUGCGCCCGCCAGUAUUCUGGCGGGCAUGCCUGUCUGAGCGUCAUUUCAACCCUCAUGCCCCUAGGGCGUGGUGUUGGGGAUCGGCCAAAGCCCGCGAGGGACGGCCGGCCCCUAAAUCUAGUGGCGGACCCGUCGUGGCCUCCUCUGCGAAGUAGUGAUAUUCCGCAUCGGAGAGCGAUGAGCCCCUGCCGUUAAACCCCCAACUUUCCAAGGUUGACCUCAGAUCAGGUAGGAAUACCCGCUGAACUUAAGCAUAUCAAUAAGCAGGA